rnacentral:snRNA from 1 species
AGCUUUGCGCAGUGGCAGUAUCGUAGCCAAUGAGGUUUAUCCGAGGCGCGAUUAUUGCUAAUUGAAGUUGGUCCCUAAGCCCAUUUUGCUCAAGGGGUUCACACAGUCCCAUUCGUCCUUCAGUGGGAUCAUUCAGGUUUUAGUGCUGAA